GAUGAACGCUGGCGGCGUGCCUAAUACAUGCAAGUCGAGCGAACAGACGAGGAGCUUGCUCCUCUGACGUUAGCGGCGGACGGGUGAGUAACACGUGGAUAACCUACCUAUAAGACUGGGAUAACUUCGGGAAACCGGAGCUAAUACCGGAUAAUAUAUUGAACCGCAUGGUUCAAUAGUGAAAGACGGUUUUGCUGUCACUUAUAGAUGGAUCCGCGCCGCAUUAGCUAGUUGGUAAGGUAACGGCCUACCAAGGCAACGAUGCGUAGCCGACCUGAGAGGGUGAUCGGCCACACUGGAACUGAGACACGGUCCAGACUCCUACGGGAGGCAGCAGUAGGGAAUCUUCCGCAGUGGGCGAAAGCCUGACGGAGCAACGCCGCGUGAGUGAUGAAGGUCUUCGGAUCGUAAAACUCUGUUAUUAGGGAAGAACAAAUGUGUAAGUAACUAUGCACGUCUUGACGGUACCUAAUCAGAAAGCCACGGCUAACUACGU
rnacentral:rRNA from 1 species